UGCCAGUUUGGGGUUUUGGUAUG
rnacentral:misc_RNA from 1 species